rnacentral:misc_RNA from 1 species
GACAAACCGUCCGAACGUUAUUCGGAUUUACUGGGUUUAAAGGGUCCGUAGGCGGGAUAAUAAGUCAGUGGUGAAAGUCUGCAGCUCAACUGUAGAAUUGCCAUUGAUACUGUUGUUCUUGAGUGUUUAUGAAGUGGUUAGAAUAUGUAGUGUAGCGGUGAAAUGCAUAGAUAUUACAUAGAAUACCGAUUGCGAAGGCAGAUCACUAAUAAAAUACUGACGCUGAUGGACGAAAGCGUAGGUAGCGAACAGG